rnacentral:rRNA from 1 species
CCUACGGGCGGCAGCAGUGAGGAAUAUUGGUCAAUGGGCGGGAGACUGAACCAGCCAAGCCGCGUGAGGGAGGAAGGUACAGAGUAUCGUAAACCUCUUUUGUCAGGGAACAAAGGCGGGGACGUGUCCCCGGAUGAGUGUACCUGAAGAAAAAGCAUCGGUUAACUCCGUGCCAGCAGCCGCGGUAAUACGGAGGAUGCGAGCGUUAUCCGGAUUUAUUGGGUUUAAAGGGUGCGCAGGCGGUCUGUUAAGUCAGCGGUAAAAGCCCGGGGCUCAACCCCGGCCCGCCGUUGAAACUGGGCGUCUCGAGUGGGAGAGAGGUAUGCGGAAUGCGCGGUGUAGCGGUGAAAUGCAUAGAUAUCGCGCAGAACCCCGAUUGCGAAGGCAGCAUGCCGGUUCCAAACUGACGCUGAGGCACGAAAGCGUGGGUAUCGAACAGGAUUAGAUACCCCUGUAGUC